rnacentral:lncRNA from 1 species
AGAAAAAACUAUUUAAAGAAUUAUUUGAGAAUCAUAUUCCACAUGCUCUAGGAAUAUUUGAGAAACUUCUGAAGUCUCGUGGUGGAAAAUAUUUUGCAGACAACAAGGUAAAUGAGGUUGUUCAUAUACCAUACUAUGCUCCCUUGGUCUGUUUCAUAAAAGUAUUGAUAGAACUGAUAAAAUAUGUGAUAUGUCAGGGCCUUCGCUCUACCCUAACCUAACCCUAACCCUGAC